rnacentral:rRNA from 1 species
CCUACGGGGGACAGCAGUGAGGAAUAUUGGUCAAUGGACGGAAGUCUGAACCAGCCAUGCCGCGUGCAGGAAGAAGGCACUAUGAGUUGUAAACUGCUUUUGUCCAAGGGUAAACCCUAAUACGUGUAUUCGGCUGAAAGUACUGUACGAAUAAGGAUCGGCUAACUCCGUGCCAGCAGCCGCGGUAAUACGGAGGAUGCAAGCGUUAUCCGGAUUUAUUGGGUUUAAAGGGUGCGUAGGCGGAUUGAUAAGUUAGAGGUGAAAUGUCCGGGCUCAACUCUGGAACUGCCUCUAAUACUGUUGAUCUAGAGUGUAGAUGCGGUAGGCGGAAUGUAUGGUGUAGCGGUGAAAUGCUUAGAGAUCAUACAGAACACCGAUUGCGAAGGCAGCUUACCAAUCUAUCUCUGACGUUGAGGCACGAAAGCGUGGGGAGCGAACAGGAUUAGAUACCCUGGUAGUC